AGUGGCGAACGGGUGAGUAACACGUGAGUAACCUGCCCUUGACUUUGGGAUAACUUCAGGAAACUGGGGCUAAUACCGGAUAGGAGCUCCUGCUGCAUGGUGGGGGUUGGAAAGUUUCGGCGGUUGGGGAUGGACUCGCGGCUUAUCAGCUUGUUGGUGGGGUAGUGGCUUACCAAGGCUUUGACGGGUAGCCGGCCUGAGAGGGUGACCGGCCACAUUGGGACUGAGAUACGGCCCAGACUCCUACGGGAGGCAGCAGUGGGGAAUAUUGCACAAUGGGCGGAAGCCUGAUGCAGCAACGCCGCGUGCGGGAUGACGGCCUUCGGGUUGUAAACCGCUUUCGCCUGUGACGAAGCGUGAGUGACGGUAAUGGGUAAAGAAGCACCGGCUAACUACGUGCCAGCAGCCGCGGUGAUACGUAGGGUGCGAGCGUUGUCCGGAUUUAUUGGGCGUAAAGGGCUCGUAGGUGGUUGAUCGCGUNGGAAGUGUAAUCUUGGGGCUUAACCCUGAGCGUGCUUUCGAUACGGGUUGACUUGAGGAAGGUAGGGGAGAAUGGAAUUCCUGGUGGAGCGGUGGAAUGCGCAGAUAUCAGGAGGAACACCAGUGGCGAAGGCGGUUCUCUGGGCCUUUCCUGACGCUGANGAGCGAAAGCGUGGGGAGCGAACAGGCUUAGAUACCCUGGUAGUUCACGCUGUAAACGGUGGGUACUANGUGUGGGGUCCAUUCCACGGGUUCCGUGCCGUANCUAACGCUUUAAGUACCCCGCCUGGGGAGUACGGCCGC
rnacentral:rRNA from 1 species